AGAAGCAUAUCAAUAAGCGGAGGAAAAGAAACUAACAAGGAUUCCCCUAGUAACUGCGAGGGGAAGCGGGAAAAGCUCAAAUUUAAAAUUCUGGCGGUUCUUUGGCCCGUCCGAAGUUGUAGUUCUGGAGAAAGUGGCUUUCGCCGCUGGACCGUGGUAUUAGUCUCUUGGAAACAGAGGCGUCAUAGGAGGGGGAGGAUCCCGUCCUUGACCACGGACUACAGUGCCUUGGGAUGCGCUCUCAAAGAGUCGAGUUGUUUGGGAAUGCAGCUCCAAAUGGGUGGUGAAUUCCAUCUAAAGCUUAAUAUUGGCGAGAGACCGAUAGCGAACCAGUACCGUGAGGGAAAGAUGGAAAGCCCUUUGGAAAGAGAGGUAAACCGUACGUGAAAUUGGUGAAAGGGAAACGCUUGAAGUCCGUCGCGUUGUCCGGAAAUUAGCCUUGCUUUUUGCUUGGUGCACUUUCCGGACGACGGGUCAGCAUCGAUUUUGACCGUCGGAAAAGGGCUGGAGUAAUGUGGCACCUCCGGGUGUGUUAUAGACUCUGGUCGCAUACGGCGGUUGGGAUCGAGGAACGCAGCGCGCCGCAAGGCAGGGGUUCGCCCACUUUCGCGCUUAGGAUGCUGGCAUAAUGGCUUUAAACGACCCGUCUUGAAACACGGACCAAGGAGUCUAACAUACCUGCGAGUGUUUGGGUGGAAAACCCGAGCGCGUAAUGAAAGUGAAAGUUGAGAUCCCUGUCGUGGGGAGCAUCGACGCCCGGACCAGACGUUCUCUGACGGAUCCGCGGUAGAGCAUGUAUGUUGGGACCCGAAAGAUGGUGAACUAUGCCUGAAUAGGGUGAAGCCAGAGGAAACUCUGGUGGAGGCUCGUAGCGAUUCUGACGUGCAAAUCGAUCGUCAAAUUUGGGUAUAGGGGCGAAAGACUAAUCGACCAUCUAUGCGCC
rnacentral:rRNA from 1 species